CUUCCCUUUGGGUGCUAUAACAGCAUGGUCUUUACAUCAUUUUUUUGACAUCCAUCCACUGUACUUCCUUCUAGCACAUGUUUUUUCGUGGAUAAUAAUGGAUUAUGUUCUUGUGUCAAAUGUUCAGAAUGGACCAUUGUUGUUUUCAAAAUUUGAAUUUCUUAGAGGCUGGUUUAUCAGAGAAUUAUCUGCAACUUAUGUCUUCAUUAUUGCAGUUGUUAAUCUUCACUACAUCAAUUGGGGUCAUCGAAAGUUCCGUGUUAAAUUUGGGGGACUAACAGAACUUGUUCACGAUGAAAUCUUGUGACUGAGCAGACACUUAGGAUUGUUUCAAAGACACUUUAUUUCAGCUCCUGGACUUGAAAGAAUGAGCUUCUAGUUAUUUGCUACUACUCCAUAGCUAUGUGCAUUGUGACAUGCGACCUGGAGAGACCACCCAGAUUGAGUUUUGUGGUCUCUAUGUCCAUAGGUUGGCUUGGUGACACUACUCAAUAGUUGAGCAGUAUAACUUUUGGGUAAACUUCAGGCAUUAGUGGUGUGUUUACUGAAUUUAAAUCUCUUCAUUUCUUUGAUAUGACAUACCACUAUGAUCUUGUAUUAAAUGUAACUAGCAUAAUAUUUCUGAUUUAAAAGGUAAUUUCCCUCAAAAAAGUUUUUUAAAUGGGAAUAUUAGAGAUUUCCAUUCCAUGACAAAGUGUGUGUACAUUUGAAAGCUAAAAACUGCAUUUAUUUUUCUUGAAUGCUCUUCUUGUUCAUGUCAUUUUUAUUAAAGUUUCUUUACCCCCUAAGUGCUGUGUGGAAUUCUGAAAACUAAAAAGUUUUGAAAUAACAAAACACUUUGUCACUAAUUCCUGUGAAAAAUUUGUUUUGUUUACUUAAUAUGUUGUAAAUAUUUUUUUGUUAACUUUGACUUAGUAAAUAUUUAUUGUUAUAAUUCAGAGAGAGAGUAAUAACAGCUAGUUAAAGUGUUUAAAAGUGUUGAUGAAUGGUUAAGACAUAGAGAGGUGUAUUUUGAGGAGAUAAAAGUUUGAAGACUUCAUAAAGAUGACUGUAAAUUAUUUUCAUGUUAUUUGUAUUACAAGUGUAGCUGCGUGCACUGUGUCAUACUAAAUUAUUGUGUAGAUGUGAUCUGUGAGAGAAGACUUUUGACAUUCCAUAAGAACUAUGUGCAUAUCGUACCAAGCCAGUAGCUUACUGAUGCUGUUAUUUAAUCUUUAGAUACAAUGUCUUUGAACUUAGGAUUUAAUGAGUUGGCAAUGGGUUCAGACAUCAGGUCUCAUUUCUAUUUCAAUGUGUCCUGAAUCUGGAUAAAUUUUUGAAAUGGAAUAUUUGUCCAACUAAGGAAGGUUUCUUAUUAUAUCAGACAUGCCUGUAAGUAAGAUCAUUUGUGGUGCCCCAACAGACUUAGAGAUAGAUGAGGUGGUGAGUCCAGUUACUAGUACUAGAGCAAGAUAUAUAAGAUGUAGAAUAAUCUAAUCUAGUUAGGCUUAAGUUGAUCUUAGAAUAGAUAUAUAAAUGGUAGAAUUUCCUCUACCAGAUGUUAUGAACAAGAAUCAACAUAUUUAAAACACUUAAAAACUACUGCCAUCUGCAUUCUUUUCAAAAAUUUUAAAAGUAGUUUUUAAAGUAGAAGAAUGAUACGCCUUGUUUACAGCCAUUGAUAUUUUCAUCUUCAUUGUGAAAUUUUUAUUCUUU
rnacentral:sRNA from 1 species